GUUUGGUCCUAGCCUUAUCCUCAACUAUUACUCAACUUACACAUGCAAGUAUCCGCACACCCGUGAAAACGCCCACACCCCUCAACACAGGACAAGGAGCCGGUAUCAGGCACAAAUUAUUUUGCCCAUAACACCUAGCCACGCCACACCCCCAAGGGUAUUCAGCAGUGAUAAAUAUUGCUUAUUAGCGCCAGCUUGACUCAGUUAAAGUAAACAGGGCCGGCCAAUUCGGUGCCAGCCGCCGCGGCUACCCCGCUUGGCUCAAGUUGACAUCACCGGCGUUAAGCGUGAUUAAAGUAACCCCACACUAGAAUUAAACCAUAACCAAGUUGUAAAACACUUGUUUUCUGGAAACCCUAAAACGAAAGUUAUUCUAACCUACUUGAAUCCACGACAGCUGGAAUACAAACUGGGAUCAGGUACCCCACUAUGCCCAGCCGUAAAAUAUUAACUCACAUUAACCACCGCCAGGGAAUUACGAGCCCAAUCUUAAAACCCAAAGGACUUGACGGUGUCCCACCCACCUAGAGGAGCCUGUUCUAUAAUCGACACUCCCCGAUACACCUCACCACUUCUAGCACAUCUCAGUCUGUAUACCUCCGUCGUAAGCUUACCCUGUGAACGCAACAGUAAGCCAAAAGAUCUUAUAUCAAUACGUCAGGUCAAGGUGCAACUAACGAAGCGGAAAGCAAUGGGCUACAAUCUCUACAAAUAGAACACACGAAAAACUGCAUGAAACACAGUCAUGAAGGCGGAUUUAGUAGUAAAAAGAAAAUAGAGAGUUCUUUUUAAUAGGGCGCUGGGACGCGUACACACCGCCCGUCACCCUCUUCAAACACCCACAUGUUAGAAGAGGCAAGUCGUAACAUGGUAAGCGUACUGGAAAGUGCACUUGGAUUAACAAAAUGUAGCUUAAUUCAAAGCAUCCCGCUUACACCGAGAAAGAUGUCCGUGAACAGACCAUUUUGAGCCUAAACACUAGCCCCACUAAUCACUUAACCUUAACUACUAUAAAAUAAAACAUUCUUACCAUAAAGUAACGGCGAUUAAAAAAUGACUAAGAGCUAUAAAAACAGUACCGCAAGGGAAAUCUGAAAUAAAAUGAAAAAUCAAGCACAAUAUAGCAGAGUUUUAACCUCGUACCUUUUGCAUCAUGGUCUAGCUAGUCCAACCAAGCAAAACGCACUUAAAGUUUGACCCCCCGAAACUAAGCGAGCUACUUUAGAACAGCCUUUUAGGGCCAACCCGUCUCUGUAGCAAAAGAGUGGGAAGAUUUUAAAGUAGAGGUGACACACCUAUCGAGCUUAGAGAUAGCUGGUUAUUCAGGAAAAGGAUUUUAGUCCCCCUUUAAGUUUCUUUAUUCACACUAAAAACCUAAUGAACUUAAAAGCCAUUCAAAUAGGGUACAGCCUAUUUGAACAAGGAAACAGCCUGCAAUACAGGGUAAUGAUCUAUUCCACGUGACUAAGUAGGCCUAAGAGCAGCCAACUUCCAAACAGCGUCCAAGCUUUAUCACUAACUAUUAUUAAUCCCAUUAUUUAUACGCAACCCACAACCGCUACUGAAUGAUCCCAUACCCAUAUGGGAGACAUUAUGCUAGAACUAGUAACAAGAAGAAGACCUUCUCCAAAAUGUAAGUGCAAGCCAAAAAUGAACAACUCAUCGGCACCUAUCGCCUCAAAUCUGCAGUACCACCACAAACCCCCAAGAAAACCAUACUACACCUGGCGUUAACCUUACACCAGAACAUUACCGGAAAGAUUAAAAAGGGGGGAAGGAACUCGGCAAAUAUUAGCCCCGCCUGUUUACCAAAAACAUCGCCUCUUGAUUGACUAUAAGAGGUCCAGCCUGCCCAGUGACUAAAAGUUAAACGGCCGCGGUACCCUAACCGUGCAAAGGUAGCACAAUCACUUGUUCUUUAAAUCAGGACUAGUAUGAACGGCCCCACGAGAGCUAUACUGUCUCCCCCCCUUAAUCAGUGAAACUGAUCUCCCCGUGAAGAAGCGGGGAUACACAUAUAAGACGAGAAGACCCCAUGGAGCUUUAAACUUGUACCACUGCCCCAAACUACAUCAAUCAACCGGGCAAACAAUGGCUACUAGUCUUUCGGCUGGGGCGACCACGGAGAAAAACUAAACCUCCACGAUGAAAGGAACACCCUAAUUAAAGAGCUACAGCUCUAAAAAUCAACAAAUUGACAUAAUUGACCCAAACACUUUGAUCAACGAACCAAGUUACCCUGGGGAUAACAGCGCAAUCCAUUUCAAGAGACCCCAUCGACAAAUGGGCUUACGACCUCGAUGUUGGAUCAGGGUAUCCCAGUGGUGCAGCCGCUACU
rnacentral:ncRNA from 1 species